rnacentral:rRNA from 1 species
UACGUAGGGACCGAGCGUUGUUCGGAUUUAUUGGGUUUAAAGGGUGCGUAGGCGGCCUAUUAAGUCAGUUCUGAAAUAUCCCGGCUUAACCGGGAGGGUGGGAUUGAUACUGAUGGGCUUGAGUGGAGUCGAGGUAGGCGGAAUUGACGGUGUAGCGGUGAAAUGCCUAGAUAUCGUCAAGAACACCGAUAGUGUAGACAGCUUACUAGACUUCAACUGACGCUGAGGCACGAAAGUGUGGGGAUCAAACAGG